UGCCUCCCUCAGGGUCACCCCUGAAGAGUUUCCAGCAUUCUACCUGUCUUGGUUAUGGGAGGGAGAGUCAAGCAGGGGCAUAUCCAUUCCAUUCCUAGCUUGGGCAGUGGCUAGUGAGUGGAAGGCAAUCUGCUACAAGU
rnacentral:snoRNA from 2 species